GAGGAUGUAGCUCAGACUGUAGAGUUCUUGCCUAGCAUGCAUGAAACUUUGGGUUCAAACCCAGUAUCUUAU
rnacentral:tRNA from 1 species